rnacentral:lncRNA from 1 species
UAAUGAAAUGCCAACAAGAAUAUGAUACAAGAAGCAAAAUUCUUCAAAAAGCAGAUAGCUUCUGAGACUUAUCAGAGUACCUUGCCUUGGAAAGAAGAAAUGAUACCUUUCCGAGAUCAAGGAAAAGGAUAAAAGGGUAGUAAAGGUGCCACUGAAUUUAUGACAGAGAAUGAAAGGACAUAGAGUGGAUUGGGCUUAACUAAGUAUUUCCUGGUUGAGGUUUCUCAUGCAGUUUCAGUCAGAGGAUGUUGGCUGGAGAUGGAGUCAUCUGGAGGCUAGGACAUUUGCCCACUCUGAAGAAAAAACAAACAGCUGAAGAAAUCUCACUCCACCACUAUCUGGUCACUCCGUAUACUCUCUUCAUCAUGGAAGCUUCAGGGUAGCUGGACUACUAACAUUGUGGAUGAGGGCUCCUAAGGGUGGCAGAGACCAGAGAAUCAAUUCACCGUUUACAAAGUCAAGCUUUUCAAGAAAUAAAACAGGAGGAAAAGCGAACUUAUGAUUUUCCUCUUUAUGAAAAACCACACAAAGAGACAGAGAAAAUGAAAACAAGGACUAUAUUUGGAAAAUUAGAGAUCAAUAACCCAACAGACACUAACAACAAAUCCACAAGAAUCACAAAUCCAAAG